UCUCCGUUGGUGAACCAGCGGAGGGAUCAUUACAGAGUCUUCACAACUCCCAACCCUUGCGAAUCGUACCUAUUUUGUCCUCGUUGCUUCCGACAGCGGGGACGGGGGGACCCGAAACGGCCGCCGCGCCCCACUCGCCGGGGGCAGCGGGCCCUACAAUCCAUUCUCUAUUAACCACUCGAAACGUUUAUACGAAACAAAGCAAAUAAUCAAAACUUUCAACAACGGAUCUCUUGGCUCUG
rnacentral:misc_RNA from 1 species